rnacentral:rRNA from 1 species
GAUGAACGCUGGCGGCGUGCCUAAUACAUGCAAGUCGAACGCAGUGGGGACGGGUGAGUAACACGUGGGUAACCUCCCAUCAGAGGGGAUAACCCUUGGAAACUGGUGCUAAACCGAUACUGAUGGAUGGACCCGCGGUGGAUGAGCUAGUUGGUGGGGUAACGGCUCACCAAGGCUACGAUGCAUAGCCGGCCUGAGAGGGGGAUCAGCCACACUGGGACUGAGACACGGCCCAGACUCCUACGGGAGGCAGCAGUGGGGAAUCUUCGACAAUGGGCGAAAGUCUGACCGAGCAACGCCGCGUGAAUGAAGAAGGUUUUCGGGUUGUAAAGCACUGUUGUUAGAGAAGCGGUAUCUAACCAAAAAGCCACGGCUAACUACGUGCCAGCAGCCGCGGUAAUAC